UUAACACUUCUCACCCCCUCACCCCCCGUAUCACUAUGCAGCCUUUGACAUCUUCAGAGUGGGAGCUGGGAGAGGGACAAGAGGUAAGAAUCAGCAAAGCACUAAUCUGACAGGUAUGUAGCUCUAUGGCUUUAAUACUACCUGGGUAUAGCAAAUGACAUCCAAAUACUACUUCCUGUUUCUCAUCCAUUCCUCACCUGCUUUUGCGCCAAUUUCUCCUUGCUGGGGAGCUCGAACUCAUUUUCUGGCAUGGCUAGAUGCAAACUCCAGAUAAUCAGUGAUGGCUGCUCCCCUCAGUGGCUACAUCUGACAGUUCAUCUCUAGUUUCUUUGAGCUAAUGUGGAUUUGCUCCUGGCAGGAAACCAUUCCCCAUGGAGGACUCCUUCCCAAGAUGGCUCUUGGCCAGCUCUCUGCCGUUCUCUCGGAGGCAUUCGCAUUGCUGCUCAUUCCAAGGUGUAAGAGCAGAAGGACCCCAGAAAGGAUUUUGCCUGCUGGACCAGGCCUACAUGUUCCAGUGUCCUUCUCUUCUCACCGUGCAACAACAAAAUACGUUUAAAAGCUGGCAAUGAAGAACAAUUGCAUUUUAUUGCCCCUCAUAUUAGUAAAAGGGUCAUUGGCUGAUCUUGACUCAAUCAAAUGAAACAAUGUGCCAGGAGUUCCUGUGAGCAUCACCCAGGUGACACUUCGUUCAGAAGCAGUGCCUUCCUGUGGCAGCAGCUGAAUCCAGUUUCCCAACACUUGCUGUGUCCCAGGGCAUGAAGAAGCAGCUUCCUCAGAGAUCCCACCACCAGCUGAGCACAAGUGCCCCUUCCUCAGGUGUCUGACUUUUAGCUCUGUGGGGCCCCUUCUCUAGGCUCCUACAUUUUAAUAAUCAACUCCUUUCCUUUGCUCCACCAGCCCUAGGGGUGGUGGCUCUUCCUACAGUCACUGCCUCUGUGAAAGUGUUUUGCUUUCUUAGGUUACCUAGUAUUAUGUUCUGAGUUGUGUCCCCUCGAAAGAUGUUGAGUUUCUAACCCCUACUACUUGUGAAUGUGGCCUUAUUUGGAAAUGGGGUCUGUCAAAAACCGAACUCGGCACAAUGAUUAAAACAAAGCAGAAAGGUGAGUUUAUUGCAAGGAUUUCAAUGUGCAGGCCAAGAAACUCUAGGCUCCAGGAGCGAUGAGUUUCAAGUUGCUCACCGACUAAGGUUUU